CUGCCCACACAACAAUUAAUUCAAUAAAUGACGUCAAUACUCGAUUUGCAUAGACGAGUAUAAUAAUCGAACCGUGCAAUUCAAAUUUCCUGCUCUAAUAGUAAGUAAUAGCAUCACUCACACAUUGGCACUCUUGUUCUCUUGGUGUUAAAGUGAUUAACGACCCGAUGACAAUGAAAGCAUCCGACAGGUGUGCCACUUGCUACAACCCCGACGUCACGGUGAAAUGCACCGGCAGGCUAAUCAGAUCUAGACCCGACGUUUGGGGCGUAGACGCUAAUUCGUGGAUUACAGCCGCUAAAUGCAUUAGCCUGAAAGGCAGUUGCUGCCAACGAUUCUCCCAACAAGUUCAGCUGCGAAAAUUUCUAUUCGGGUAGGGCGACGAGCGCUAAGUGCAGCGGCAAACUAUUGGCUUCUGCCUACUACACACCUGAGAUGUGCAUCGCCUUCGGAGGACGUUGCUGUGACGGAGAUUUUGCUGGUACUACCACCGGAUCGGCUUUCUGCGCUUGGAGCAUUUUUAGCAUCGUGAAAAACUGCAAUGUUUGUUACAGUGGCAUGCCACUAGAGUUGUCGCCUAACGCGAACUGACGCGCCAUCAGUUCUGAUAAAGUUAUUCGAUGUUGAUCAUUAAGCAUUCAAAGAAAUAAAACAUGUCGUUGCUGCAAAAAAAAAUGAUCCAAUGUUUGAAAUAUUUUUGCUGCGCUACUCGUAUAGUUUAGUCUGCAAAAAA